rnacentral:piRNA from 1 species
UAGACUGUUAAAUAGAGUAGCUUGUCGAGA